GGCAAAUCUAACGUCUUAGAAUGACCCAAUUUUUCUUCAUCUUAUUUUCUAUCCUCUUCUUCUUUCUUCCCAAACGCAGAAUGGUCCCAACCAUUUCCUCUUCUUCCUACUAAUUUUUUCACCCAACUUAGCUUCCUCUUCCAGCUUCUGGUUACGGCUCAGAUUGACUCAUCUCUUAUGCUCUUAGUCCUUCGGUUACAUUUUCUUUCACUAAAAACCUCUCAUUUUCUUCUCUCUAUGUUGAUGGCCUCUGCUGUCUUGCUCAACUACAAGACCUGAUGGGGAAUCACAAUCUGUCUUUCUUUUCCUUCUCU
rnacentral:misc_RNA from 1 species